rnacentral:tRNA from 1 species
GGCGAGGUAGCCGAGUGGUUAAGGCGAUGGACUGCUAAUUCAUUGGGCUGUGCCCACGUGGGUUCGAGUCCCACCCUCGUAGAUCA